rnacentral:ncRNA from 2 species
GAAACGCACUAGGGGUGCUGUAAUGGCUGAGAUAAAACAUGCUGCGGCGUGUUUUGAUCCCUUAUAACCCGAUCUGGAUAAUACCAGCGUGGGGAAGUGCAGAUUGACCGAA